rnacentral:ncRNA from 2 species
GUAAAGUAGGAGUGUGCAGGUCAAAGUCUCGCGAGAGAACUUUGUUAAACGGGAAGCCGGUGUAACUCCGGCGCUGUCCCGCAGCGGUAAUGGGAGCGAAACGUUGCAAGGCGCGAGCCAACGCACUGUCUCAACGAGAUGGGAAGCGGCGAUGGAGUAGGUUGCCCAGAGUCCGAAGACCGGCCUGCCGCCACCACCAUGG